rnacentral:rRNA from 1 species
UUGCAGCUUUUCUUCACCCAGUUAUAUCUAAAUCAACUGAACCUAUCUGGCAUCAACCUGGCUCAUAUUUUUCUCCUUCCCAAUAAGGAAACUCCGCUCGAACUUAAGGACUUCAGGCCAAUCUCCAUAGUGCACAGUGUGCCCAAACUUGCAAGCAAAGUGCUGGCCAGGAGGCUUCAAAUUCAGAUCCCCAGACUAAUCCACUCUUUGCAGUCUGGUUUCACCAAGGGUCAUGCCAUUGUGGAGAACUUUGCUUUGGCUGCAGACAUGGUCCAAACAAUACACAAGCGGAAGUUACCUAUGGUGUCUCUCAAAUUGGACUUUCAGAAAGCGUUUGACUCAGUCAGUUGGUCAUGCCUCAUCAGUAUACUUACUGCCAAAUGUUUCCCUCAGUGA